rnacentral:rRNA from 1 species
UACAGAGGUCUCAAGCGUUGUUCGGAUUCAUUGGGCGUAAAGGGUGCGUAGGUGGCGAUGUAAGUCUGGUGUGAAAUCUCGGGGCUCAACCCCGAAAUUGCAUCGGAUACUGCGUUGCUUGAGGAUUGUAGAGGAGAGUGGAAUUCAUGGUGUAGCAGUGAAAUGCGUAGAUAUCAUGAGGAAGACCAGUUGCGAAGGCGACUCUCUGGGCAACUCCUGACACUGAGGCACGAAGGCUAGGGGAGCAAACGGG